rnacentral:rRNA from 1 species
UACGGAGGGUGCUAGCGUUGUUCGGAAUUACUGGGCGUAAAGGGCGCGUAGGCGGCCGUUUGCGUCGGAUGUGAAAGCCCGGGGCUCAACCGUCGGAACGGCAUUCGAUACGGGACGGCUGGAGACCGGGAGAGGAGAGUGGAAUAGCCAGUGUAGAGGUGAAAUUCGUAGAUAUUCGCAAGAACACCAGUGGCGAAGGCGGCUGUCUGGUCCGGUUCUGACGCUGAGGCGCGAAAGCGUGGGGAGCAAACAGG